rnacentral:tRNA from 1 species
CUUUCAAAGGACAGCAGUGAUUCCACUAGCCUUAGGCGCUAUUACCCCU